rnacentral:rRNA from 1 species
UACGGGGGGAGCAAGCGUUGUUCGGAUUUACUGGGCGUAAAGGGCGCGUAGGCGGUCAGCACAAGUCAGUUGUGAAAUCUCCGGGCUUAACUCGGAAAGGUCAACUGAUACUGUGCGACUAGAGUGCGGAAGGGGCAACUGGAAUUCUCGGUGUAGCGGUGGAAUGCGUAGAUAUCGAGAGGAACACCUGCGGCGAAGGCGGCGACCUGGACAGGUACUGACACUCAACUACGAAAGCGUGGGGAGCAAACAGG